ensembl:lncRNA
GGUUCCUUCACUGCACUCACACCUCCUCUCUGCCUUUUCCUUUUCGUGGCAGGCGUUCAGUUUUCACGCUCCACUUUGCGAGUUCGGGGCUUCCACCACUUCAGCAGGGAUUUGUUUGAGAUUUUUUACUAAUAUAUGAAACAAAGCCAAGACAUCUUGUCAAACAUGUAUCACAUUGCUGAUUAGCUUUAAAGUUUGAUGGAUGAAGUGAAGCUUUAAUAGUCGUCGACAGCCUGAAAGUUUUGGGGAGUAAAGAUGAAAUAAGAUGGAAAUAUUCAACUAAAAUAGCUUUUAUUAUCCUCCCACCCUCCAAUCAGCCCAUUAACUGCCUCCAUUCUUCAACUUGACAUCAUCCCUCCUCACAGACAACAAGGAGAAUAAGAAGAAGAAGAGGAGGAGAAGUAGGAGGAGGAGGAGGAGAGAAGCAGAGGUGGCGAUGCAAACAGAGGAUGUGCAGGGAGAAGAUGGGCAGCCCACUGUGAGCUCUCACCACGCUGAAGAGGAGAAAGUGACAGCAGCCACAACUUGGCCACCACUGACAUGAAAUUCGGGGGAAAGACGCUGUGGAACAGCAGGAGCAGAAAUCCAACUAAAAAUUUCAACUCGGACAGUGUGGAAGUGACACCAGAGCUCUUUGGAUCCUGUGAAAGUCCACAGCCAGAGGAUGAGAGGGGCCGACUUUCACCGUAGUUUCGGGAAAUGUUUGUGCACAAUGGAACGACAUCCUCCUACAGCAUGUCCAAUGCUUUGUUAUUCCUGAUGCUUUGCAAGAUCGGUCUGAGACGCAAACUACAGGCAUUCUCCGGUAAAAUGGUAAACACUGUCUACAGUGAUGAGGAAAAAGGAACCAAUGACAAGGAAAGUAAGGAGGAAACCAUCUUGGCCAUGUUGGGCAUCAUCGGGACCUUCCUUAACUUGGUAGUUAUCAUCUUCGUCUACAUCUACACCACCUUGUAGGUCAAGAACUGCCUCUUCGUCAAUCAGCAAAGAACAUUUUAGCCAUCUUUCCUAUAGUAUGUUUACGGACGUGGAGAUAGAAGUGGGCAGAGCAGGAAGGAGGCUUACCUUACCCAGAGGUGAACUGGUUCUAAGACUGCGCAGCUGUCAAAUGGCAGGACUCCCACACCACUUCAAACAGAAGAGAAAAGGACAAACGUCUUUAUUCCUCUCUCCUGUAGAACUGUUAAGAAUAUUUGCUCACAUUUGACUUGUACAUAAUUGCAUGAAAGCAAAAUAAGUGCAACUUCACCAACAAAACAUGAAAGACUUCAAAUUUAAAAGUGUGAACAAUGUUUAAAAGUGUUUUAAAGGGUUUUUCUUUUCUGGUGAAAUAUGAAGGUUUAAAGGACUGCAGCGAUUACAACGUAACAAUCCAAAUGGGUAAAUAUUUGUACACAAUACGUGAUAAUUUAUACAAGAUUUACAGGAUAAGGUGUUGAGCUUUAAGCAGGAGUGGGACAUGCAUUUCACACUUAGGCCUUUCUACUACGAUCAGUAUGUCAUACUAUCAAUGGAAACCCUAAAUGUCAUCAAUGUCAAUCCCAUUUAAAUUAUUUCAAGAGUUUGUAAUUCAUGAAAAACUAAAAUGAACUAAGACAAAUUGACGCUUUGUUCAAAACUAUAUAUAAAUAUAUAUAUUUAGAAAGGGAUGAACAUUUCUUGAUAUUUAUGAAAGCUCCAAGUAUACAAUAUUUUUUCUGGGGUAAUCCACUCUUGCAAAAUUAAUCUUUCCUUGUAGAUUUCAUCACUGAAAAAUAUACACAAAUAUACAUUUCAGGUUCACUGCACAGGUUUUCUGCUAGCACUGAACAGUAAGCUUGCAGCAAACAUUCCAUAACCGUCCAAUCAAACUGUUUGACAAUGCUAAUACGUGUGAAUAUCUGCUCUAUUGAGACUGGUAUCAUAGUCGCAAAAACAAAGUGACAAGAACGCUAUGUUGAUGGCGUCACUGCUAAUUCUGAGGCCUCGAGGCAAACAAACACAGCAGAAUGCAAGAAAUUAAAUGGCUUUUUAAGGAGAACAGGUUUCUUUGAGGUCCUUUUAUUAAAUAAAUAUAAGUAUUUGGAUUUAUGGUCA